CUGAUAUUUGAUACCUCUUGCAGCCAAAGCUCCUGGUGAGGAUAUGAAGGAAUUCAGGAUGACAGUUUCAGUGUCUUAUCCAAACAGACGUGUAUUGGAAAAGGACUAGAGAAAUGGUGACAGCAGAUUCAGCACUGCAUCUGAAUCCUGGCUUUGGUGUAGAUAAAGCCUCCAAUUUGGAAAUUCAGCAGCAACCCCUGUAUUUUUCCUCUGAAUGCUACAUAAUAUGCUGUCAGUUUGCUUCCAGGUGACUGCAAAUUCUUCCUGGUGCAGAAGGCUCACGAAAUAUUCGGUGUAUGCGCAUGAUUUAGAAGAUGGUACAACUGUGGAAAAACCUUACUGUAGGAUGUUAUGAGAGCAGCCCCCUGCAGUUCUUCUCAGAAAUGGAGUACUGCUACAUGCUGUCCUAUCUACAGCAGAAAAAGAAACCAGGUAGGGAUGGACCUUGCACUGUGAACCAAGCCUUGAGCUGCAUCUCCAGUUUAAUCACAAACUUUUUUCACUGCAGUUCACCAACAGGAAACAGGGACUAGUAUUUUCUUAGGUGGGAUGAACAUAGAAUCAUGGAAUGGCUCAUGUUGGAAGGGAUCACAAAAUCAUCUAGUUCCAGUCCGUUUGCUGCAGGCAGGAUUGCCAGCGACUAAAUCAAGAGCUAGAUCAGGAGAAAGAGAAUAGAUUGAGAGAAAAAAAUCUCUUUCGUUAAAUGGCUGAGAAGCAGCCUGACGUUGUGGUAAGGAUGGCCAGGCAUUUAGUGAUGUCAGAUACUAACAUAUAGCUGAACAGACAGUGAAAGAUGUGAUCUAGAAGUAGCUCAUUUAUUUAUUGAAACAGGAGAACCUGAAAGCCGUGGUAUUACCUUUGCAGUUCAUCCAAUGCUGUCUGCAUUGCUAUGUGAGGUAGGUUGUGUGUGUGGAAGGAAAUGCCCCCAGGGACGUUCCGUAGCUUCCUAUACACUUUAUCUAGUCCUGAGUACACACUGGUACAUCAUUAAUGACUAUCCUUCACUACAGGGCCCUAGUGAUUACAAACUCUUUAAUCACAAUUUGUUUUUUGAGCUUUCUCUUUAAAACCCAAAUCUAGUUAAUUUCAGGUGUGAGUACAACCUAUGGAUGUGAUUUUUUUCAAGUUCAAGCAUUAGAUUCUUAUUUUGAUGCCUUCAUUGUAACCCAGUAUCAUUUAAAAAUGGUGCUGAUGCUCAUGUACACUGAACAUCACAUGUAGUGGGGCUGAUCUGAACAUUUUGAAGGGACUGGUGUGUAGCUGUACUAAUAUAUUAUGGUUGUAACUAUUAGAGCUUCGUAGGCCUGUGUUUUAUAGGGGCAAAUGUUAUUAAAUAUUGUGUGAAACAACUAGGCCAGGAGGCUUGUAAGACACUAUAGUUUGUCCAUAAGGUAAUGCAUGUAAAACAUUUGCCUCUGAGGUAAAUGCUAUCAUUCAGUGUCCUUAACUGUAUUAGGAACAUUAAAAAAGUGUUUAUUAC
rnacentral:lncRNA from 7 species